GCCGGGGCUUCUUCUGCGGGUACCGUCAUCAUCUUCCCCGCUGAAAGAGCUUUACAACCCUAAGGCCUUCUUCACUCACGCGGCAUGGCUGGAUCAGGGUUGCCCCCAUUGUCCAAUAUUCCCC
rnacentral:rRNA from 1 species